rnacentral:rRNA from 1 species
UACGUAGGGGGCGAGCGUUGUCCGGAAUUAUUGGGCGUAAAGAGCGUGUAGGCGGUUCGGUAAGUCCGCUGUGAAAGUCCAGGGCUCAACCCUGGAACGCCGGUGGAUACUGCCGGGCUAGAGUCCGGAAGAGGCGAGUGGAAUUCCUGGUGUAGCGGUGAAAUGCGCAGAUAUCAGGAGGAACACCGAUGGCGAAGGCAGCUCGCUGGGACGGUACUGACGCUGAGACGCGAAAGCGUGGGGAGCAAACAGGAUUAGAAACCCUAGUAGU